UACGUAGGGCGCGAGCGUUGUCCGGAAUUACUGGGCGUAAAGAGCUCGUAGGUGGUUUGUCGCGUUGUUCGUGAAAACUCACAGCUUAACUGUGGGCGUGCGGGCGAUACGGGCAGACUGGAGUACUGCAGGGGAGACUGGAAUUCCUGGUGUAGCGGUGGAAUGCGCAGAUAUCAAGAGGAACACCGGUGGCGAAGGCGGGUCUCUGGGCAGUAACUGACGCUGAGGAGCGAAAGCGUGGGGAGCGAACAGG
rnacentral:rRNA from 1 species